rnacentral:tRNA from 1 species
AAUACUUCUAUUCUAAAUGGAUAUUUUUUUUUUUUAGAUUUCUAUGUCAAGAAAUAUAUUU